rnacentral:lncRNA from 1 species
GUUUUGGUGAGUUGUCGGUGAUUAGGGUUUUCGGUGACUUUGUUUUAGUGUUUUACCGCAUUUCGGUGGUCCGAUUCUCAUCUUGUGGAUGUUUGGGUAACUUUCCGACAUCGUUUCUCGAUUUUUUUGGUGACUGAAUCGACGUCUGAACCUAGGGUUUUCACUGCUAUCUGAAGGCCGAUCUUCUUCCGGUAGCGAAGAAGGAGGGUAAC